rnacentral:lncRNA from 9 species
AACUCGGCAAAGCUGGGCGCCGGCUCCUCUGGGAGGCGCUGCGGGCUGGGAGCAGGGGGGCCACGGGUGAGUCUUCCUGCUCACUUCGCGGUAGGCGCUCCUGCCUUGGGUGUAGCUGGUGGUGGGAGUGCUGACUGGAGGCGGGGUGGCGGGGAGAGGGGCUUGGGUGGGAGUCCUCCCGGGUAGGGCCCACACUCGCCCCGCCGGCCUCAGACUGGCUCCUGGGAGACCAGACAGCGUCUGCACAACGAACCCGGCCAGAGGCUCCGACUUGGCCCCGGCGCUGCACCGGCCUGCGGUCCCUGUGUGUGGGCCUCGGUUUCCACGGGAGGUUGAGUGCAUUCUGCUGUGCGACCCUCUGGGGGCGGCAGGGGGCGCCCCCGGCCCACGGGAACGCGCUCGGGGGGACAAAGAGGGUGCGCGACAGCCAGAAGCAGCUCUGACAGGGCCACCGGCUCAGCCUAGUGUUGGGGACACAGGUCAGUGGAGCCCAGAAAUCCCACUGGGCCCUGGAAAUGCAGAUGUGACAAUGGACAAGAUCCAUCUGAAAGUUUUGAAGAGAAUAAAGGAGGAGUAAAGAUGUAUAUCAAAGAAACUGGAUGUGGCUCUACCCUAGAGAAUAAGAGAAUCUUCCUGAAGAACUUCCCAAAUAAAAUACCUUGUUUUUCUUCGUGAAAUCUGAUCCUGCUGUUUGGUUUCUGAUAAAUACUCUAUCGAAAGAGGGAAAGUUCCCUUUUAUACUUUGUUUAUUGAAAGCUGCUUUUAAAAAAUGUGGAAUGGAUGCUGAAUAUUAUUAAAUUCCUUUUUAGUCCCAUGAACAUAACCAAAGCUUCUCUCUUUUAGAUUAUUAGUGUCGUAAAUAACACCAAUAGUACUAAUAUUGAACCAGCCUUGCAUUCCUGUAUUCUUGCAUUGUAUUGGCACUUUAUUCUUUUCCUGGCCUACUGGAUUCAUCCUGCUAAUAUUUUAUUCAGGAUUUUUGUUAUUUUUUCACAAGUAAAUAUUAG